rnacentral:lncRNA from 1 species
UGCAUACGGGCUGAAGUGUAUGUGUAUAGGUGACGUAGUGUGUGUAGGGGUUACAGAGAGGGUGUGUUUAGAGAAUGUUGUAUGUGUUUGCUGACAAGGAAUGUAGUGUGUGUGUGUAUAGGAGAUCUACUGGGUAAAGGACCCAGUGUGUGUGUGUGUGUGUGUGUAGAGGAUUAAGAGUGCAUAUAGAGUAAGGGAUCUAGUGUUAUCUGGAGCGUAAUGUGUGUAGUGGUGCAGUGUGAGGGGUGCUGUAGUGUGUGUGUGUGUGUGUGUG